CCUACGGGAGGCAGCAGUGGGGAAUAUUGCACAAUGGGGGAAACCCUGAUGCAGCGACGCCGCGUGAGUGAAGAAGUAUUUCGGUACGUAAAGCUCUAUCAGCAGGGAAGAAAAUGACGGUACCUGACUAAGAAGCCCAGGCUAACUACGUGCCAGCAGCCGCGGUAAUACGUAGGGGGCAAGCGUUAUCCGGAUUUACUGGGUGUAAAGGGAGCGUAGACGGCAGUGCAAGUCUGGAGUGAAAUCCCAUGGCUUAACCAUGGAACUGCUUUGGAAACUGUGCAGCUAGAGUGCAGGAGAGGUAAGCGGAAUUCCUAGUGUAGCGGUGAAAUGCGUAGAUAUUAGGAGGAACACCAGUGGCGAAGGCGGCUUACUGGACUGUAACUGACGUUGAGGCUCGAAAGCGUGGGGAGCAAACAGGAUUAGAUACCCCUGUAGUC
rnacentral:rRNA from 1 species